GAUGAACGCUGACAGAAUGCUUAACACAUGCAAGUCAUUGGCGAAGCUGCGCUUGCGCAGUCUAGCCAAGGCGGACGGGUGAGUAACGCGUAAGGAACUUGCCCUGCAGACAGGGAUAACAGACGGAAACGACUGAUAACACCUGGUAUUGUCAGGCUGGCGCAUGCCGGCCUGAUGAAAGGAGACGCUGCAGGAGAGCCUUGCGUCCUAUUAGCUAGUUGGUGGGGUAACGGCCCACCAAGGCGAUGAUAGGUAGCCGGCCUGAGAGGGUGAACGGCCACAAGGGGACUGAGAUACGGCCCUUACUCCUACGGGAGGCAGCAGUGGGGAAUAUUGGACAAUGGGGGCAACCCUGAUCAAGCAAUUCUGUGUGCACGAAGAAGGUUUUCGGAUUGUAAAGUGCUUUCAGCAGGGAAGAAGAAAGUGACGGUACCUGCAGAAGAAGCGACGGCUAAAUACGUG
rnacentral:rRNA from 1 species